CAGAAGCUGUAAAUAUGUGAGCUCCAAUCUAAAGAAUUGGAACAAACCAGUGAUUACAUUGGAACUUAUCCCUUUGAUGUCGUAAGCGUGUCCUCCAGAACUGCCAGAGGAUCUGGCCUCCUUCCAGUUGACAUCCUCGAAAUGAAUUUCCUAAUGAACAACUGGUUACGAGUUGCCUAAGAGUCCUUUAUUCAUCAUGAUAUGUUUUUAAAGGUUGUUUUUUUUAAAUUAAAAAAAAGGAGAUUAGCUUGUAGGCUUUAGUGGGAUAUCAUAUAAUAGCUGGGAGGAUAUGAUGGAAGCCUAGUAAAAUGAAUCAAAAUCAGCACAGCCCAACCACGGGAUUUAAGGAAUUUAUUAUCUCACUGUAAGCUAAUGAGGGAUCCUUUUUGAAAUGUUUUCCAUUCAAGUAUUGAAGUUAACACUGGAUUAAAUUGUCAUUCUCUCUGAUA